UGAGGAGUAGCUCAACUGGUAGAGCGCUGGAUUCUGGUUCCAGAGGCCGGGGGUUCGAUCCCCUCCUCCUCAG
rnacentral:tRNA from 1 species